rnacentral:rRNA from 1 species
UGGGGAAUAUUGCACAAUGGGGGAAACCCUGAUGCAGCGACGCCGCGUGAACGAAGAAGGUAUUCGUUUCGUAAAGUUCUGUCCUAUGGGAAGAUAAUGACAGUACCAUAGAAGAAAGCUCCGUCUAAAUACGUGCCAGCAGCCGCGGUAAUACGUAUGGAGCGCGCGUUGUCCGGAAUUAUUGGGCGUAAAGGGUACGCAGGCGGUUUAAUAAGUCGAAUGUUAAAGAUAGGGGCGCAACCCCGUAAAGCAUUGGAAACUGAUAAAAUUGAGUAGUGGAGAGGAAAGUGGAAUACCUAGUGUAGUGGAGAAAAACGUAGAUAUUAGGAGGAAUACAAGUAGCGAAGGAGACUUUCUGGAGACAAACUGACGAUGAGGUACGAAAGCGGGGGGAGCAAACAGG